rnacentral:rRNA from 1 species
UACGUAGGGCGCAAGCGUUAUCCGGAAUUAUUGGGCGUAAAGAGCUUGUAGGCGGUUUGUCGCGUCUGCUGUGAAAAUCCGGGGCUCAACCCCGGACUUGCAGUGGGUACGGGCAGACUAGAGUGUGGUAGGGGAGACUGGAAUUCCUGGUGUAGCGGUGAAAUGCGCAGAUAUCUGGAGGAACACCGGUGGCGAAGGCGGCAUCCUGGACCGGCAUUGACGCUGAGGAGCGAAAGCCAGGGGAGCAAACGGG